GAGAAGUUGAGUCCUCUCUAGCCUGCAGGA
rnacentral:piRNA from 1 species